rnacentral:sRNA from 1 species
GCUGGGCAUGGUGGCGGGUGCCUGUAAUCUCAGCUACUCGGGAGGCUGAGGCAGGAGAAUUGCUUGAACCUGGGAGGCAGAGGUUGCAGUGAGCCAAGUCACGCCACUGCACUCUAGCCUGGGUGACAGAGCAAGACUCUGUCUCAA